CACCGGAGUUUCUAUAAAUCCAGAGGAAGAAGAGGAUCCUCAAGCAGAGGUUGAAGGCUCCACCAGCUUUGAACCAGUUCACCAAGACCCUUGACAAGAACCUAGG